rnacentral:rRNA from 1 species
GCAAGCGUUGUCCGGAAUUAUUGGGCGUAAAGAGCUCGUAGGCGGUCUGUUGCGUCCGCUGUGAAAACUCGGGGCUUAACCCCGAGCCUGCAGUGGAUACGGGCAGACUAGAGGUAGGUAGGGGAGAAUGGAAUUCCCGGUGUAGCGGUGAAAUGCGCAGAUAUCGGGAGGAACACCGGUGGCGAAGGCGGUUCUCUGGGCCUUACCUGACGCUGAGGAGCGAAAGCGUGGGGAGCGAACAGG